rnacentral:rRNA from 1 species
AAAUUGAAGAGUUUGAUCAUGGCUCAGAUUGAACGCUGGCGGCAGGCCUAACACAUGCAAGUCGAACGGUAACAGGAAGCAGCUUGCUGCUUCGCUGACGAGUGGCGGACGGGUGAGUAAUGUCUGGGAAACUGCCUGAUGGAGGGGGAUAACUACUGGAAACGGUAGCUAAUACCGCAUAAUGUCGCAAGACCAAAGAGGGGGACCUUCGGGCCUCUUGCCAUCGGAUGUGCCCAGAUGGGAUUAGCUUGUUGGUGGGGUAACGGCUCACCAAGGCGACGAUCCCUAGCUGGUCUGAGAGGAUGACCAGCCACACUGGAACUGAGACACGGUCCAGACUCCUACGGGAGGCAGCAGUGGGGAAUAUUGCACAAUGGGCGCAAGCCUGAUGCAGCCAUGCCGCGUGUAUGAAGAAGGCCUUCGGGUUGUAAAGUACUUUCAGCGGGGAGGAAGGGAGUAAAGUUAAUACCUUUGCUCAUUGACGUUACCCGCAGAAGAAGCACCGGCUAACUCCGUGCCAGCAGCCGCGGUAAUACGGAGGGUGCAAGCGUUAAUCGGAAUUACUGGGCGUAAAGCGCACGCAGGCGGUUUGUUAAGUCAGAUGUGAAAUCCCCGGGCUCAACCUGGGAACUGCAUCUGAUACUGGCAAGCUUGAGUCUCGUAGAGGGGGGUAGAAUUCCAGGUGUAGCGGUGAAAUGCGUAGAGAUCUGGAGGAAUACCGGUGGCGAAGGCGGCCCCCUGGACGAAGACUGACGCUCAGGUGCGAAAGCGUGGGGAGCAAACAGGAUUAGAUACCCUGGUAGUCCACGCCGUAAACGAUGUCGACUUGGAGGUUGUGCCCUUGAGGCGUGGCUUCCGGAGCUAACGCGUUAAGUCGACCGCCUGGGGAGUACGGCCGCAAGGUUAAAACUCAAAUGAAUUGACGGGGGCCCGCACAAGCGGUGGAGCAUGUGGUUUAAUUCGAUGCAACGCGAAGAACCUUACCUCUGGUCUUGACAUCCACAGAACUUUCCAGAGAUGGAUUGGUGCCUUCGGGAACUGUGAGACAGGUGCUGCAUGGCUGUCGUCAGCUCGUGUUGUGAAAUGUUGGGUUAAGUCCCGCAACGAGCGCAACCCUUAUCCUUUGUUGCCAGCGGUCCGGCCGGGAACUCAAAGGAGACUGCCAGUGAUAAACUGGAGGAAGGUGGGGAUGACGUCAAGUCAUCAUGGCCCUUACGACCAGGGCUACACACGUGCUACAAUGGCGCAUACAAAGAGAAGCGACCUCGCGAGAGCAAGCGGACCUCAUAAAGUGCGUCGUAGUCCGGAUUGGAGUCUGCAACUCGACUCCAUGAAGUCGGAAUCGCUAGUAAUCGUGGAUCAGAAUGCCACGGUGAAUACGUUCCCGGGCCUUGUACACACCGCCCGUCACACCAUGGGAGUGGGUUGCAAAAGAAGUAGGUAGCUUAACCUUCGGGAGGGCGCUUACCACUUUGUGAUUCAUGACUGGGGUGAAGUCGUAACAAGGUAACCGUAGGGGAACCUGCGGUUGGAUCACCUCCUUACCUUAAAGAAGC